UACGUAGGGUGCAAGCGUUAUCCGGAAUUAUUGGGCGUAAAGAGCUCGUAGGCGGUUUGUCGCGUCUGCUGUGAAAACUGGGGGCUCAACCCCCCAGCCUGCAGUGGGUACGGGCAGACUAGAGUGCGGUAGGGGAGAUUGGAAUUCCUGGUGUAGCGGUGGAAUGCGCAGAUAUCAGGAGGAACACCGAUGGCGAAGGCAGAUCUCUGGGCCGUAACUGACGCUGAGGAGCGAAAGCUAGGGGAGCAAACAGGG
rnacentral:rRNA from 1 species